CGCGCCCCCCGGCGGGCGGAGCCCGGCGCCGCGGCCAGGAUUUCCCACCUCGCUCCCGCGACUCCGCUGCGGGUCUGCACACCCGAGGACUCGGGGUACUUAACCGAAACUAGCAAUCCCAGGCGGUACAAGGCCCUCCAUCGUAGGCAAAGCACUACCUGAAUGUAGAUUUGGGCCAUACGUUGGAAAAUAAGACAUGAGAGUAUGCUCCGAUCAACUUUUACUGUUCACUGGACAACUAUUUUGGGAAUUUGCAGACCUAUAAAGCCCAUCUAUAAAUCUCAAGCAUGUCCACUUUCAGAGAAGAGAAAUGCUGACAACCAUUUAGUCUCUGAGGACAACACUUUUAAAGUGUAACAAUGUGGCAUCCAGAGCUUAUCCAGAUGAGCGGAGAGCAAAUGAAUUUCCUUCUGCUCCCCUGUUGAAGAGGAGAGAAAAAUUCUUCAAGCUACGUUUUCCUUCCGUACACUCAUCAGUCCAAGAGGGAUGAAGCUUGUGGAAAUUUUGCAGCAGCCUUCCCUGACCAUGGUGGCCUGAAGUGCACCUUUUAUACAGGACUCCAUCAUAGGACUGGAGAGAGAUUGGAUGUCAGAGUGAUUGAUGUGCUCCUACUGGAAGAAGGCAAACAUCCAUAUGUGAACUGCCUGUGGGGUUUCCAAGGAAAGGAACGGCAGGCAGCCUCUAUGAGCUUAAAGAAGAUAACUGGGACUUUAGUCCUAUAACCUCAAGGAACAGUAUUCUGUGAACCAUCUGAGAAGCUUGGAAGAGGACCCCAAACUCCAAAUAAGAAGCUCAGUGUGUCUGACACCUUGACUGCAGGCUUGGGAGGUCCUGAGCAGAAGAUCCAGUUCAACAGUGCCUGGACUCCUGAUCCACAAAAACUGAUAACAAAUAUUUAUUGUUUUAAGAUGCUAAGUUUGUAGUCAUUUUUUAUACAGCAACAGAAAACUAAACACACACAUAAACAGUUAUAAGUGCUCACUGUAUAUGAGGCUUUUCAUUAAUAAUCUAUAUUUUAUAAUAGAAUUAGAAUAUAGAUCUGUGAAGCUGAAGACACUCAAUCCUUGCUAGAUUUAAAUCAGGAAAAUCAGCUGAGAAUCAUUCCUUGAUAGAACCUGGAAAACAAGACCCUAUGAGAGACCCUGGGAAUUACAUUAAAUUCACUGUGGUUCCCAGUGUCACUGAAGAGGUUUUCCUUUCAUAGUCAGGUAGUCACCAUACUGUUAAGCAUUUGAACACAUGGGCAACUUCCAGAAUAGUUAUGACAUUGAUAUACCAAUCUCCAAAAUUCCUAGAAUACCAUGUUUUCAUGGUUGACCUUCAAAUCAGUCAGUUCUUUGUAACAUUGAGCCAUAAAGAUAGGGCAAAUACUUAAUGUUUUACAUAUAUUCAGAGAUUGACCCUCAAAAUACAGCCCAGAGAAACUCAAAAGAAUUAACUCUAUUUCUUCAAAUUGUGUGACGCCACCAAGGCCAGAUGACUUCAGCAUUGGGAAGGCAAUAUCCAGCUGUCAUCUUCUUGAUCCUCAUAUGCUACUACUAGCAUCUAGCAUUUACUGAGCAGAUAGUUUUAUUGUCCAGUUUUUAAAGAUAAGAAAAUUGAGGUAUUAGGAAAGUUAAGUUGGUUGCCUAGGGAAACACGAAGAUAUAGCCCAGAUUCACUCCCAGGCAGGCAGAUGCCAGUGUCUGCUCUCUUUACCACCGAAAUAUCCUGCUACAUGUACAAUUUCAAUAAAUAUCUGGACUUACUGGAACAAAACAAAUCAACAACAUUCUUAUUUUCUUUCUUCAGUUUAGAUUAAAUAAUUUAAAUGUCUUCUUAAGAAGCUACAGUUUUUUGAGGCACAGAGGGAUAGGAGGGUAGGUCCUACCAGUUGAGUCACUCAGCCCUAUAGUUGUGAAAAUCCUUAAUUUUAAGAAGCAGCAGUAAAGUCUCUACUUCUCAAGCUUGCCAUUAGAUGGUUUUAAAUAAUUGACAGGCUCUGCUCAAGUUCUUCUGAUUUCUCCAUAUCCUGGAAAUGGUUAAAGGCAUAAGCAGGAAGCCAUUCCCUUUUGAUGAGCUGCUAUGACAUCAUGCAGUAAGUUUACUGAAGAGAGAUUCCUGAUGAAAGAUGCAAGAGAAACUAGAUACAUUAAGCAGUCGUUUCUUUAUAUGAAUCAAUGGGACACCUUUGCUUUCCUUUACUCUAAGUGACCUAUAUGCAGAAAAUGAACUCACUUUUCCUAUGUUUAGAUCAAGUUUUCAAGUUACUUCCUGGCAAACAACCCUAACAAGAUCAUGUAUGAUAGUUAAUUGGCCAUAAUCUCUGCCUUUUCUUUUUUUCUGGCUAAAUAACCAGGUGGACCACACAUUUGGGUCAGGGGAGUCACAUUAGGACUCUUUUAGUAGAGAGAAUGCCAGAUGUAGAUAUCACGCUUAUU
rnacentral:lncRNA from 1 species